UCCUUCCUUGUCUAGGGGAGCUGAGUGUGUCGAUGAUCGUCUAGUGAGACCACUUCUGCUGAUACCCUUUAAAUAUUUACCCGCACCCACAAAUUCUGUGAGUGCAAUUUUUGGAAGU